rnacentral:rRNA from 1 species
UACGUAGGGGGCAAGCGUUGUCCGGAAUCAUUGGGCGUAAAGAGCUCGUAGGCGGCUUAGCAAGUCGGGUGUGAAAACUCCAGGCUCAACCUGGAGACGCCACUCGAGACUGCUAUGGCUAGAGUCCGGUAGGGGACCACGGAAUUCCUGGUGUAGCGGUGAAAUGCGCAGAUAUCAGGAGGAACACCGGUGGCGAAGGCGGUUCUCUGGGCAUUACCUGACGCUGAGGAGCGAAAGUGUGGGGAGCGAACAGG